CCAGAACUGGGGAAGAGAGGCGGAACUCCUGAGCCCUUGGGUACUAGUGUUCCUUACAUCGAACAAGAACUGGCCGCUGUUUCAGACCGGAAGGGUGCAGAGAUGAAAGACAGGACCCAGGGUCUCAGGAUGCCUGUUGCCUCCUAAGAGAGUUGGACAUUUCUAUUUUGAUUUGCAUUUCAAUUGAGGUUGAUAGGGAGUGACCUUCACGUCUGAAUGACCUGAUGAGAACAGAAUAGACUUGAUUAUGAAGCAAGAAAUUUUUAAAGGAUUUAUCUGAUGGAACAUCAAGAGGAUUCUUUCUUUCUUUUAAGAGAUAUGAGGUCUCACUCUGUCAUAGUGGCACAAUCAUAGCUCAGUGCAGCCUUGAACUCCUGGGCUCCAGCGAUCCUCCUGCCUCAGCCUC
rnacentral:lncRNA from 1 species